rnacentral:rRNA from 1 species
AUUGAACGCUGGCGGCAUGCCUUACACAUGCAAGUCGAACGGUAACAGGUUAAGCUGACGAGUGGCGAACGGGUGAGUAAUGUAUCGGAACGUGCCCAGUCGUGGGGGAUAACUGCUCGAAAGAGCAGCUAAUACUGCAUACGACCUGAGGGUGAAAGCGGGGGAUCGCAAGACCUCGCGCGAUUGGAGCGGCCGAUAUCAGAUUAGGUAGUUGGUGAGGUAAAGGCUCACCAAGCCGACGAUCUGUAGCUGGUCUGAGAGGACGACCAGCCACACUGGGACUGAGACACGGCCCAGACUCCUACGGGAGGCAGCAGUGGGGAAUUUUGGACAAUGGGCGCAAGCCUGAUCCAGCCAUGCCGCGUGCGGGAAGAAGGCCUUCGGGUUGUAAACCGCUUUUGUCAGGGAAGAAAAGGUUCUGGCUAAUACCUGGGACUCAUGACGGUACCUGAAGAAUAAGCACCGGCUAACUACGUG